rnacentral:hammerhead_ribozyme from 17 species
AGCUGGUCAGGAGCUAUUGUCAUUCCCCUGAUGAGCCCAUGGCCGGGCGAAACUAGUU